CCAUAGCUGUGGGAACAGAGUGGGCAACAGCUGCACUCCUAAGGGCCCUGGAGAGGAUUAUAACAAUUGAUAUGCAUGCAGAGUUUGCACAGCACUUGGUGCAAGGGCCGGGCAAAUGCUGGCUGUGGUUGUUAUUAUCUCGGGGUCACCCUGAGCAUCUGAUACCAGUGAGGAGACUCUGGCUUCUGGGGAAUCUUCCAGAGCUGCAGAUCUGAGCCUGGCAGGAGGAACUCUUAGACCUUGUGAAGACUGAAUUCCUGUCCCCUGAAGCUCUUGAAACCAUCCCAUUCAUGUCUGCCGGUCAGAGUCACCAGGAAGUUCUUCCUUGUAUCUAUCCUAAGUCUUUCCUGCGUUGAUUUCUCUGGGUUCCCAUCCAGGCCGGAUAGGAAGACGAGGGAAGGAGCCUUAAGGGUGUUUCAAGCAUCAAUCCCAGAACUUCCCAGCUCAGCUCAGAAGCCAGCAAUGUGAGUCUCUGGCUCCAAGGGGGCCAAGAGCCAGGAGGGGAGGGUUUGCC
rnacentral:lncRNA from 1 species